AUAAGCAACAUGGUACAAUAAAAAGAGUAUGGGCUUUGAGGUCAAAAAAGCCUGUGCUCCAAUUCUGCCAUUUACUUACUGUGGAAAUUUGGGUAACUUUAAGUUUUUUUAGAGCUGAGGAAAGGGAGGCUCAGAAAGUGUUCCUGCUUCAGGAGGCUGGUAAAGGCUGGUGGGAGACAGCAUUUUUAAACAACAACAAAAUACUAAGAAGCUCAGAAGAUCACUAGCUGAUUGUGAGGGUGAACUUGCCAAAAGGAGGACUUGAUGAGCUAAGAGCUUUGCUCACUAGACAGCAGCCUCCGUGCUGCAGCCAGGGUAGCAAGGUUCAUGAGAGGAAAAUGAAAACAACAGUGGAGGGAAGGGGCGCGCCUGGCACUCAGAAUGUGCCUUCACGAGUGUGCGGUAUCUCACUCUGGGGCUCCAUUUCGGUAAAAUUGUGCACGUUAAAAGGAGAAAGAGGUUGUGACCUGCGCACUGCACACUCAACCAGACCCGAUGAAGGCUUCCUCAGAAUGUGAGGCUGGAGGCAUUGGGGAAUUUACCUGAAGUCACUCUAUUAAAGAUCUUAAUUUUGAAUUCAGAAAUCAACAAUAUGGUCUCUAAACCAAGUAGCACAGUCCAGUGGGAAAGGAAGACAGAGAAGCAAAGAAUUGCAGUGCUAUGUGAUAAGUACAAAGACAGAGGUGAGCUCUGAGUGCUACCAAACACAGAGGCACUUAACCAAGCUGGAAAAGGGUAAGGGAA